GACCAUUUCAUUUGCUGACGUCGAGGAGAACGGAGGCAGGCGAGGGAGAGUAGUCGACUAUUCUCGACUUGACAAUGGAAAUGCUCAAAUCAUGGCAACAACUGCUCAAGCAGGAGUUAAUUUCAUUUAUGGAUUCACAUGGCUGGUAUACAGACGUCUAUACAUGACGUAAGAUGACCAAAAUGUAUACCGAGUAUUAUAUCUGUUAUACUGAUGGAUAGAUGUAUAUCUGAUAAAGAAAUGCAUAUUUCUUGGAACGGUUUGGAUGUGCGAGAGCAUUCAAAUUCAAGGAUGACGGAACAAAAUUUAGGUUUCUCCUAACAUAAGUCGUUAACCAGCCAUGAUGAGGUGCCGUUGAAGUACUUCCUAGUAAGCCAGAUGAUACAAAAUCUGAUAAAUCAGUGAUUCUGGACAAUUCUGUGAAACUUUGUCACCUAGCAUCAUCUUUUAAUACAGAUACUCAAGAUGAAUUGAUUGUGUAAAAGUCAUUUGUUGAACGAUGUCGUAUGGUAUCUUCUGUAUUAAAAUGUAAGAUGUACAAAAUAUAGAUUGUAUUAAAAAUCUUGUUUUAUUAUGGUAAUACCAUGUUCGUU